CCUACGGGAGGCAGCAGUGAGGAAUAUUGGGCAAUGGAGGCAACUCUGACCCAGCCAUGCCGCGUGCAGGAAGACGGCCCUAUGGGUUGUAAACUGCUUUUAUACAGGAAGAAACCUUUCUACGUGUGGGUGCUUGACGGUACUGUAAGAAUAAGCACCGGCUAACUCCGUGCCAGCAGCCGCGGUAAUA
rnacentral:rRNA from 1 species